GCCGGGGUGGUGGAAUUGGCAGACACACAGGACUUAAAAUCCUGCGGUAGGUGACUACCGUGUUAGGUUCAAGUCAGACCCUCGGCA
rnacentral:tRNA from 1 species